GAUGAACGCUGGCGGCGUGCCUAACACAUGCAAGUCGAGCGAACAGACGAUGCGCUUGUUCCUUUCUCGUUUGCGGCGGACGGGUGUGUAACACGUGUAUCAUCCACUUAUAUGACUGGGAUAAUCACGGGAAUCCGGAUAAAAUAAUAGCUAAUAUAUUGAACCGUUUGGUUCAUUAGAGAAUGUCGGCUUUGCUGUCUGUUUUAGCUGCUUCCGCGCUGGAUUAGCUAGUUGGUACGGUAACAGCUUAGCACGGCGACGAUGCGUAGCCGAGCUGAGAGGGUGAUCGGCCACACUGGAACUGAGACACGGUCCAGACUCCUACGGGAGGCAGCAGUAGGGAAUCUGCGGCAAUGGGCGAAAGCAUGACGCAGCAACGCCGCGUGAGUGAUGAAGGUCUUCGGAUCGUAAAGCUCUGUUAUUGGGGAAGAAAAGAUGUAUAAUGAACUGUAGACGUCGUGACGGUACCUGAUCAAGAAGCAACGGCUAACUACGUG
rnacentral:rRNA from 1 species